UAGCUCCCUCCCCGUUCAAGUUGGAAAGGUAACAAUUACGGUGGUUUAAACUGCAAAUGCUCCUUGCUUUCCAUCUGGAAAAGGAAUUUGUAGCAAUGCCAUGCUCAUCGCCUUUAGAGUUUUGAAUGGAGAAUGUGCCGUCCUAUCCAUCCUUUUGCAGACUUGCAGUGAUGUCUCGUCUCGCGUUGCCUCGAUUCGGCGCAAAUCAGCAACUCUCUGGUGUGUCCUAGUCCCCUAGAUCUGUCAGAAGGAGAAUAUAUACGAGGGAUCUGUUGGGCAUACGGAGGCUGCAAACGUGCUCUGAAAUUUGAGUUUACUGCUAUUAUUUUUUCUUCCUUUUAUCCACGGUUAAUAAGCGAUUAGAAAGAUACAGAUUUCUUGUGACUUGGAUGCCUUCUUGUUUAGGAACUGUACCUUCAAGUCUUGAACAGUAGUUGAACACUUGAACUGAUAGACCAUCAGAUGGGUUGCUUUCAAUAAUUACAAAUAGGCGCCCUUCACCUGUCUUGAAGCCAAACUGGC
rnacentral:lncRNA from 1 species